CCUACGGGUGGCAGCAGUGAGGAAUAUUGGUCAAUGGUCGGGAGACUGAACCAGCCAAGCCGCGUGAGGGAUGAAGGUACAGAGUAUCGUAAACCUCUUUUGUCAGGGAACAAAGGCGGGGACGCGUCCCCGGAUGAGGGUACCUGAAGACAAAGCAUCGGCUAACUCCGUGCCAGCAGCCGCGGUAAUACGGAGGAUGCGAGCGUUAUCCGGAUUUAUUGGGUUUAAAGGGUGCGCAGGCGGUCUGUUAAGUCAGCGGUCAAACCCCGGGGCUCCACCCCGGCCCGCCGUUGAAACUGGCAGUCUCGAGUUGGAGAGAAGUAUGCGGAAUGCGCGGUGUAGCGGUGAAAGGCAUAGAUAUCGCGCAGAACCCCGAUUGCGAAGGCAGCAUGCCGGCUCCACACUGACGCUGAGGCACGAAAGCGUGGGUAUCGAACAGGAUUAGAUACCCUUGUAGUC
rnacentral:rRNA from 1 species